UACGGGGGAGCAAGCGUUGUUCGGAUUUACUGGCGUAAAGGGUGCGUAGGUGGUAGGGUAAGUCUGGUGUGAAAUCUCCGAGCUCAACUCGGAAAUGGCAUUGGAUACUAUUCUGCUAGAGGAUUGGAGGGGGAGCUGGAAGUACUUGGUGUAGCAGUGAAAUGCGUAGAUAUCAAGUGGAACACCAGUGGCGAAGGCGAGUCCCUGGACAACUCCUGACACUGAGGCACGAAAGCUAGGGGAGCAAACAGG
rnacentral:rRNA from 1 species